rnacentral:rRNA from 1 species
UUUUUCAAAGACAUUGCUUAUUGUUAAUAAUAAUAAGUAAUUUCUGCCCACUGCAGGUUGUGAAGGGCUGCAGUAUUGUGACUGUAUCAAGGUAGCAUAAUCAUUAGGCUUUUAAUUGGGGGCUGGUAUGAAGGGUAAACGAAGGGAUGGUAUAUUUUUAAGAAUUGAUGAAAUUAAUAACUAUGUGAAAAAGCAUAGGAGCAUCAUUGGACAAGAAGACCCUAAAAGUUUUAUUUUUAUUAUCAAAAGAUUACAGAGGAUUUUAGACAAAGAUUGGUAUAUUUUUUUAGCAAAAGUUUGGCUGGGGCGGCAUAUUUGGAAACAAAAAUUUAGUUUAAUUUUAGAAAGCGUUGGAAUGACCUGUGAAGGUCAAUUGAAAGAUAAGCUACUUUAGGGAUAACAGCGUAAUCAUUUUUUAGAGUUCCUAUUGACAAAAUGGUUUGCGACCUCGAUGUUGGAUUAGGAAAAGAGUUGGUGCAGAAGUGACAAGAUUGUCGUC